AGUCGAACGAUGAUGCUCCAGCUUGCUGGGGUGGAUUAGUGGCGAACGGGUGAGUAACACGUGAGUAACCUGCCCCCUUCUUCGGGAUAAGCUUGGGAAACUGGGUCUAAUACUGGAUAUUCUGCAAUUGUCGCAUGGUGGUUGUGGGAAAGAUUUUUUGGUGGGGGAUGGGCUCGCGGCCUAUCAGCUUGUUGGUGGGGUGAUGGCCUACCAAGGCGUCGACGGGUAGCCGGCCUGAGAGGGUGACCGGCCACACUGGGACUGAGAUACGGCCCAGACUCCUACGGGAGGCAGCAGUGGGGAAUAUUGCACAAUGGGCGCAAGCUUGAUGCAGCGACGCCGCGUGAGGGAUGACGGCUUUCGGGUUGUAAACCUCUUUCGAUGGGGAACAAGGCCAUAUUUUUGUGUGGUUGAGGGUACCUGUAUAAGAAGCGCCGGCUAACUACGUGCCAGCAGCCGCGGUAAUACGUAGGGCGCGAGCGUUGUCCGGAAUUAUUGGGCGUAAAGAGCUCGUAGGCGGCUUGUCGCGUCUGCUGUGAAAACGCGGGGCUUA
rnacentral:rRNA from 1 species